AUGGCGGAGCUCGCAACGGGUGCCGUGAGCACCCUGCUGGGUGUGAUCGGCCAAGAGGCGCUGAGGCUCGGCCGUGUUCGGCACGACGUGCAGUUCAUCCAGGAGGAGAUGGAGAGCAUGGGCAGCUUCCUGGCAAACCUCUCUGCAAACAGCCGCGAGCACGACGAGCAGGUCCGCACCUGGAUGAACCAGGUCCGGAUCCUCGCCAAUGACUGCAACAACUGCAUCGACCUCUACCUCUACCGCGGGAACCCCGCGCUCCACCGGCCCAAGGAAGGUCCCGCCCGUUGCCUCUGGUGGACUUCCUGGCUGCCACGGAAGCUGCUCGCGCAACACCGCGCGGCCGGCCAGCUGAGGGAGCUCAAGGACCGCGCAUUGGACAUCAGCAACCGCCGAAGGAGGUAUGGCGUCGAGGUCAAAACAGAGUCAUCAUCUUCGAGGGCUGGGCAGCUCUGGGAGCCAUUGUUCUUGUCGGCCACACAAGACCAUGAAGAAGAAGAAGAAGACUACUACCAACAUGCUGGUGAUCCACUCAAGGUGGCCUUAUCCAUGACCAGCAUGAGGAUGGACAAGGAAGCCUACUUUCGAGAAAGGCUAGAUGACUGGAUGGGAUCGGUGGUGAGUUCGGAGGUGAAGGGAGACAUAGAGCCGAAUGCGACAGGAUCAACAAAACUGGCGGCCGAAUCAAAACCAUUACUACCAUGCAUCGCCUUUGAGGUAACGAAGGCCGAGGACACCGACCGUCUUGCGCUUAAAGUCCUGGGGGUGGUAGAAGACUAUUUCAAGAGGGCAAAAGACGUCCAAGAUAAGGUAGCUGUGCUACCAGAGAACAAGGACGCUGGGAACAUCAUCGUCUUCGUCGAUGUCCCAACGGUGCACUACGAUAGUGUACCACUACAACCCCACAAGAUCCUGUGCUACAUCCUCGCUGAGCUCGAGUGGCCGAAAGGCACUCCCAGAUCAAGAUGGCUUACUUACACAUACACAAGGGAAAAGAUUCGUGAAAUCAAGGACAUGAUAAGAGGAGUGGAUGUCAACGCAAUACACAAUCUUGGGGAUUCGGACCAGUUGAAAAAUGAAGAAAUCGGCUUGGGCCAACUCCUCCGGCUGCUCAUCUACCACUCAACUAGUGCUGCUGUAUCUGAAAAAGACAAAAAGAUUAAAUCCGGAGUAGCAAUAUUGUACAAUGUCAUCAUAAAAAAAACAGCCAGGAAACUCAAAUGGAAAAUAGAAAAAGGCGACUCAAGCCCAGAGCUGCCUGAGCCUGAAUAUGAAGACAUAUUGAAGACGGUGUUUCCAAAGUCGACCAGCAUCACCACCACUGCUGCCGCCAAUAGUCCCAGUGGCACAUCGGUCGACGAAGAAAUCGAAGAAACAGUUGAAGGGGUUAAAGAGAUGAUAAAUGAGCUCCAGAAAUUAGACAAAUCUGACAAGAACCCAGAAGCUGAUAUUAACAAAACCACAGAGAAGAAGAAAGAAAUCGUAAAGAAGAUUAGGAACCGUCUCAAGAUCAAAAUGAUGGUGCAAAAGAUUAAAGAAUGUCUGAGAGAUGAUCAAAAGAUCCUGGUAAUCCUCAAAUUAGUUUAUGACAAGUAUGUAUGCCAAUGGGAGGAGACCAGAAACAGUUUGAGCCUAUUGGAGUGCCCCAUCACUGGUGCUGUGAUUGUGGCCACAAAGACCGCUCAACGGGACAAGAAGCAGCAAGCAUUUCAAGGUCCAGAGCUGGAUCGUAUGGAAUAUUCUCUUGCUGGCCUCUACCUUGAUACUGUGCUCAGAAAAAUAGGCCAGCAUAUGGAUAGUGAAGAAACCUGCCAGAUUCUUCGCGACAUCUUGUGCAGGUGCGAGUCACAAGAAUUCUGUAUGAAGCUCUUUGCUCAUGCAUUGUAUACCAAACCCAAGAGGAGCAGUGAAGAGCUGAGCAAGUUGCACAGAACCUUGUGUGACCGUGUCACACAAAAAUCAUUGCCCAGUAGGAUGUUCAAGUUCUCCUACAUGGAGCUACCUAAAGAGUACAGAUUCUGUUUGUUGUACCUUGCUAUCUUCCCUCAAGGACGUGCCAUGAGACGGUCAACCUUGAUAGGACGAUGGGUUGCAGAAGGGCUGAUAACCACCAAAGACUCACGCCGGUCCUCUUCAGUGGAUGAAGCCGAGAAAUGUUUUGAUACACUGGUCGCACGGUGCCUUGUUUGUCCUGCCGGCAUUGGUGCUGCUGGAAGGGUCAAGAGCUGCAUGGUGGAUGAGCUAGUUUAUGGAUUCAUUACCACGGUCGCCAUCAAGGAGCGCAUUCUGGAGACAUGGCUGUCACAUCACUUGGCUCGUCACUUCUCCAUAUUCAACGAUGUCCGCCUCCGCAGCUCAGACACAAUAGAGGAUUUCUUUAAAAAGUCAUCUCAGUUCUACAAGCUCAAGGUGCUAGAUCUAGAAGGCUGUGAAUGCUUCCCAGAGUACCAGUACUACCUGAAUGACAUAUGCAGGAACAUAGUAAUGCUAAAGUAUCUCGGCCUGAGGGGAACAGGCAUUACCAGGCUGCCCAGUGAAAUCAACAAUCUUCUUGAGCUGGAGGUAUUGGAUAUCCGGGAUACCAAGAUCCCUAUGUCUGCCACAAGAAAUAUCCUGCUCCGAAAGCUGAAACGACUGUUGGCUGGUCGAAAGCUGAAGGGUCUGAUAGCUAGUCACGUUGACUCAAUUCAAAGCAGUUCUGAUGACAAGACCAAAAAAGUGGAGCUUGUGGAGGUACUGUGCAAUGGCAAGCUUCAGAAUGGUCUGAAGCGUCUGUUGGACGGUCAUGUUGAUUCAAGUCCUGCUGAUUACUCCAGUGUGCAGAUCCCUGAGAAGAUCGAAAAAAUGCUGGGUGUGGAAGUAUUGUCCAAUGUCAAGCCCAAGAAUCAACAAGACUUGGUAAGCAUUGCAACUCUAAAUGACCUGAAGAAGCUCGGUGUGGUUAUCAACAAGGAGAGUGACCUCCAGCCGUUGCUUAAUGCAAUCAGUGAGCUCCUAAACAAGUCCCUCCGCUUUCUGUCAAUUACUCUUGACAUAACCAUAUACAAGGACUCUCCCUCAAAGCUGAGUCUGGUAAACAGCCCCAAGGAUCUUGAGAGCCUAACUAUCAAUGGAAGCAAAACGUGCCCCGAGGAUAUCAAAAGCACUAGCACACAAAUGUGGAAGCUUCUUGAAUCAUUGACUGAAAAUGGAAAGCAACUUGCCAAGAUAACUCUAAGUCGCACUUUUUUGAGCCAGGAAAAUCUGAAGGUCCUUGCCAAGCUUGAGAACUUACGUUGUGUCAAGCUUCGACACAGUGCGUACAAUGAGAGCAAGCUCACUUUCAAUAAGGGAGAAUUCAAAAAUCUCAACAAAUUUCUUGUUGAGGGAAACAACAUGGCUGAAAUCACAUUUGAUAAUGGAGCAGCUAGUAACCUCGAGAAGAUCGUUUUGUCCUUCACCAGCAUAGUCUCUAUCAGUGGAGUCAACUGCCUUCAAAAACUGGAGGAGCUCGAGCUGAAGGGCAUCAAUAACAUGGAGAUGGUGCAUUCAUUAUUUGACAAUGCCAAACACAUAACCAAGGUGACUCUUCGUGAUACAAUGCUGGAGCAAGGUGAUCUGAAAAUCCUUGCUAGCAAUAAGAAGAUGCGCUCCCUAGUGCUCCUGUGGAAGUUUUAUAAUGGCAGUCAUCUUAUCUUCGAAGAUGAAUUCCAAAAGCUCAACCUUCUUAUUGUUGACUCCUCUGAGUCUGACAUAACCAAGAUAAGCUUUACCAACAGGUCUCCUAAUCUUGAGAAGAUCGUCUGGUCAUUCAAGGGAAUUGUUUCUCUGUCCGGAAUCGACAAGCUUCCUGCAUUAAAGGAGCUGGAGUUGAAAGGUGGUGACAGUGUCCCUAAUAAGUUGAAAGAAGACAUUAAAAAACAAAAGAUUAGGCUUGACUAUAAACCCAGGGAUAGGCCAUAA
rnacentral:rRNA from 1 species